rnacentral:rRNA from 1 species
GACGAACGCUGGCGGCGUGCCUAACACAUGCAAGUCGAACGGAAAGGCCCUGCUUUUGUGGGGUGCUCGAGUGGCGAACGGGUGAGUAUCACGUGAGUAACCUGCACCUGACUUUGGGAUAUCUUCAGGAAACUGGGGCUAAUACCGGAUAGGAGAUACUGCUGCAUGGUGGGGGUUGGAAAGUUUCGGCGGUUGGGGAUGGACGAGCGGCUUAUCAGCUUGUUGGUGGGGUAGUGGCUUAACAAGGUUUUGAAGGGUAGCCGGCCUGGGAGGGGGACCGGCCACAUUGGGACUGAGAUACGGCCCAGACGCCUACGUGAGGCAGCAGUGGAGAAUAUUGCACAAGGGGCGGAAGCCUGAUGCAGCAACGCCGCGUGCGGGAUGACGUCCUUCGGGUGGUAAACCACUGUCGCCUGUGACGAAGCGUUAGUGACGGUAAUGGGUAAAGAAGCACCGGCUAACUACGUG